CGCCCGAAGCCAUUAGGCCGAGGGCACGCCUGCCUGGGCGUCUCACAUCGCGUCGCCCCUCGCCCUGUGCCCGCAAAGGGUCCUUGGGUUGGUUGGGGCGGAUUUUGGCCCCCCGUGUGCCCCGGUGCGCGGUCGGCCUAAAAAUGAGUCCCUGGCGACGAACGUCACGAUGAGUGGUGGAUGUGAUAACGUUGCGUCAUGUCGUGCACGUCUUGUCCCAGCGGGUUGCUUUUGUUUUCGACCCUGAGAAGCACCGCUUCCACGGUGCCUCGACCGCGACCCCAGGUCAGGCGGGAUUACCCGCUGAGUUUA
rnacentral:rRNA from 1 species